rnacentral:rRNA from 1 species
CCUACGGGAGGCAGUAGUGAGGAAUAUUGGUCAAUGGACGCAAGUCUGAACCAGCCAUGCCGCGUGAAGGAAGACUGCUCUAUGAGUUGUAAACUGCUUUUGUACGAGGGUAAAGCCCGACACGUGUACCGGGUUGAAAGUAUCGUACGAAUAAGGAUCGGCUAACUCCGUGCCAGCAGCCGCGGUAAUACGGAGGAUUCAAGCGUUAUCCGGAUUUAUUGGGUUUAAAAGGAGCGUAGGCGGUUCGAUAAGUUAGUGGUGAAAUUCCGGGGCUCAACUGUAGCAUUGCCACUGAUACUGUCGGUCUAGAGUAUAGUUGCGGUAGGCGGAAUGUAUGGUGUAGCGGUGAAAUGCAUAGAGAUCACACAGAACACCGAUUGCGAAGGCAGCUUACCAAACUGCGACUGACGUUGAUGCACGAAAGCGUGGGGAGCAAACAGGAUUAGAUACCCGGGUAGUC